GACGAACGCUGGCGGCGCGCUUAACACAUGCAAGUCGAACGGAAAUUCCUGCUUUCCCUUGUGGCUUGCGGGUACUCCAUUGGCGAAUGGCUUUGUAACACGUGAGUGAUCUGCCCCCUACUUGUGUUUACGCCUGUGACCCUGGGUCUAAUUCCCGAUAGCCUUUCAGGCUGCUGCCUGUUGUUUAACUCGAUUUUUUAGUUGUUGGGGCUGAGCUCGCGGCCUAUCAGCUUGUUGGUGGGGUAAUGGCCUCCCAAGGCGGCGACGGGUAGCCGGCCUGAGAGGGUGGACGGGCACAUUGGGACUGAGAUACGGCGUAGACUCCUACGGGAGGCAGCAGUGGGGAAGAUUGAACAAUGGGGGGAAGCCUGAUGAAGCGACGAAGCGUGGGGGAUGACGGCCUUCGGGUUGUAAACUCCUUUCGACCGCGAGGAAGCCACCUGGUUGGAAGGGUGGUGACGGUAGUGGUAGAAGAAGCACCGGCUAACUACGUG
rnacentral:rRNA from 1 species